rnacentral:rRNA from 1 species
CUACGGGGCGCUGCAGUCGAGAAUCUUCGGCAAUGGGCGCAAGCCUGACCGAGCGACGCCGCGUGCGGGAUGAAGGCCCUCGGGUUGUAAACCGCUGUCAGAGGGGAAGAAAUGCAGGUGGGUUCUCCCAUCUGUUUGACUGAUCCUCAGAGGAAGUACGGGCUAAGUUCGUGCCAGCAGCCGCGGUAACACGAACCGUACGAACGUUAUUCGGAAUCACUGGGCUUAAAGAGUGCGUAGGCGGCUUUACAGGUGGGGUGUGAAAGCCCACGGCUCAACCGUGGAACUGCGCCCCAAACCGUAAGGCUUGAGGGAGAUAGAGGUGAGCGGAACUGAUGGUGGAGCGGUGAAAUGCGUUGAUAUCAUCAGGAACACCAGCGGCGAAGGCGGCUCACUGGGUCUUUUCUGACGCUGAGGCACGAAAGCUAGGGGAGCGAACGGGAUUAGAUACCCCUGUAGUC